rnacentral:lncRNA from 1 species
UUAAUUAUAUAUGAUUAUAUCAUAUAGCUCUCAAAAUAGGAAACUGCUUCUCAGGCCAGUAGAGUAAAAUACAGAAAAGAGCUGUUAGAGACUAAACUUCGUAUUAGUGAGGUAGCAGCCAUGAUAAUAUGUAAGAUACUAUUUUUGAGAUCAUUAUAAGAUUGAUCAUUCUCAACGUCUAAUUGAUUCCUUAAGAAUAGUUGAAACCUUUCUCAAAACCAUGUUAAUAUCUUAUAAUUAUGCCUUAUAAUUAUACUGUUCCAUCCAUGACACAGCUGCUUAUCACGUCCCGCUCUUUGCUCUCUGUAUCAUCAGUGCAUUAUGAGUUUCCCAUUAGGGUCUGAUCACUGGCCCCUUAAGGAUGUUUUCUAGGGCUAGGGGUGCCACUUUACAAAGAAUCAGCUGUUCAAUAUUCACUUUUCUAGUGUGUUUCCAGAAUCUGGAAGGAGGUGAAUAAGCCAUUCUUAAUUAAU